rnacentral:rRNA from 1 species
UGGGGAAUCUUCCGCAAUGGGCGAAAGCCUGACGGAGCAACGCCGCGUGAGUGAAGACGGCCUUCGGGUCGUAAAGCUCUGUUAUAUGGGACGAACGUAUCUAUGGCCAAUACCCAUAGAUAGUGACGGUACCGUAAGAGAAAGCCACGGCUAACUACGUGCCAGCAGCCGCGGUAAUACGUAGGUGGCAAGCGUUGUCCGGAAUUAUUGGGCGUAAAGGGCGCGCAGGCGGCCGGUCAAGUCUGUCUUAAAAGUGCGGGGCUCAACCCCGUGAUGGGACGGAAACUGGCAGGCUGGAGUGUCGGAGAGGAAAGCAGAAUUCCUAGUGUAGCGGUGAAAUGCGUAGAUAUUAGGAGGAAUACCAGUGGCGAAAGCGGCUUUCUGGACGACAACUGACGCUGAGGCGCGAAAGCCAGGGGAGCAAACGGGAUUAGAUACCCCGGUAGUCCUGGCCGUAAACGAUGGGUACUAGGUGUAGGAGGUAUCGACCCCUUCUGUGCCGGAGUUAACGCAAUAAGUAUCCCGCCUGGGGAGUACGGCCGCAAGGCUG